rnacentral:rRNA from 1 species
GAUGAACGCUGGCGGCGUGCCUAAUACAUGCAAGUCGAGCGAAUGGAUUAAGGGCCUGCUCUUAUGAAGUUAGCGGCGGACGGGUGAGUAACACGUGGGUAACCUGCCCAUAAGACUGGGAUAACUCCGGGAAACCGGGGCUAAUACCGGAUAACAUUUUGAACCGCAUGGUUCGAAAUUGAAGGGCGGCUUCGGCUGUCACUUAUGGAUGGACCCGCGUCGCAUUAGCUAGUUGGUGAGGUAACGGCUCACCAAGGCAACGAUGCGUAGCCGACCUGAGAGGGUGAUCGGCCACACUGGGACUGAGACACGGCCCAGACUCCUACGGGAGGCAGCAGUAGGGAAUCUUCCGCAAUGGACGAAAGUCUGACGGAGCAACGCCGCGUGAGUGAUGAAGGCUUUCGGGUCGUAAAACUCUGUUGUUAGGGAAGAACAAGUGCUAGUUGAAUAAGCUGGCACCUUGACGGUACCUAACCAGAAAGCCACGGCUAACUACGUGCCAGCCGCCGCCGUAA